rnacentral:rRNA from 1 species
AAGUAGGGGAUCGUAAGACCUUGCGCUUUUGGAGCGGCCGAUGCCUGAUUAGCUAGUUGGUGGGGUAAGGGCCUACCAAGGCAACGAUCAGUAGUUGGUCUGAGAGGACGACCAGCCACACUGGGACUGAGACACGGCCCAGACUCCUACGGGAGGCAGCAGUGGGGAAUUUUGGACAAUGGGCGAAAGCCUGAUCCAGCAAUGCCGCGUGAGUGAAGAAGGCCUUCGGGUUGUAAAGCUCUUUCAGUCGAGAAGAAAAGGUUGUGACUAAUAAUCACAACUUAUGACGGUACCGACAGAAGAAGCACCGGCUAACUACGUGCCAGCAGCCGCGGUAAUACGUAGGGUGCGAGCGUUAAUCGGAAUUACUGGGCGUAAAGGGUGCGCAGGCGGCUUUGUAAGUCAGAUGUGAAAUCCCCGGGCUUAACCUGGGAAUUGCGUUUGAAACUACAAAGCUAGAGU